AUUGAACGCUGGCGGCAGGCUUAACACAUGCAAGUCGAGCGGGGGAAGGUAGCUUGCUACCGGACCUAGCGGCGGACGGGUGAGUAAUGCUUAGGAAUCUGCCUAUUAGUGGGGGACAACAUCUCGAAAGGGAUGCUAAUACCGCAUACGUCCUACGGGAGAAAGCAGGGGAUCUUCGGACCUUGCGCUAAUAGAUGAGCCUAAGUCGGAUUAGCUAGUUGGUGGGGUAAAGGCCUACCAAGGCGACGAUCUGUAGCGGGUCUGAGAGGAUGAUCCGCCACACUGGGACUGAGACACGGCCCAGACUCCUACGGGAGGCAGCAGUGGGGAAUAUUGGACAAUGGGGGGAACCCUGAUCCAGCCAUGCCGCGUGUGUGAAGAAGGCCUUAUGGUUGUAAAGCACUUUAAGCGAGGAGGAGGCUACUUUAGUUAAUACCUAGAGAUAGUGGACGUUACCCGCAGAAUAAGCACCGGCUAACUCUGUG
rnacentral:rRNA from 1 species